AACAUCUCCUCUGUGGCUUACCUCUUCAUCGGAACGGCCUCACAGGCUUCAUCAAGUCAGACCUGCAGAGACAGAAGGCUAACCAGUUGGCCAAGGCAGCUGUCCCUUCAGAUCCCGAGGAUGGGAACGUCCCUGCCUCCGCAGUCCUCGAAGAAACCAGGUUUUAGAGACGGACGAUCUGCUGGACACCAGCAUCUCCCACCCUGUGGAAUGUGAAGUUUAGGGGAGGAGCACAAUCAGGAAGUGUUUACGACCACUUCCCUUUAACACUGUCCAAAAAGACAUCCAAUAUUUACGCAACAACAAAUUAUUUCUGUAUAAUUUCUAGAUGUGCCAUAUCUACCGGUAAUCUACAAAAUGUUUACUGUCCAAAAUUAGCACAAAUAAUACUGUCGUUUUACAGUAUACACUGUUGCAUGACAUAGACUGACCAGGUGAAAGCUAUGAUCCCUUAUUUAUGUCACUUGUUAAAUCCACUUCAAUCAGUGU